UUUCCGGUUGAUCCUGCCGGAGGCCAUUGCUAUCGGAGUCCGAUUUAGCCAUGCUAGUCGAGCGAGGUUAGCCCUCGCGGCGAACAGCUCAGUAACACGUGGCCAAGCUACCCUGCAGAGGGGGACAGCGUCGGGAAACUGACGGGAAUCCCCCAUACCGGUCUCACGCUGGAAUGCCGAGACCGACAAACGCUCCGGCGCUGCAGGAUGCGGCUGCGGCCGAUUAGGUAGUCGGUGGGGUAACGGCCCACCGAGCCGAUAAUUGGUACGGGGUGUGAGAGCACGAGCCCGGAGACGGAAUCUGAGACAAGAUUCCGGGCCCUACGGGGCGCAGCAGGCGCGAAACCUUUACACUGCACGAAGGUGCGAUAAGGGGACUCCGAGUGCGAGGGCAUACAGUCCUCGCUAUUGUGUACCGUAGGGUGGUACACGACCAAGAGCUGGGCAAGACCGGUGCCAGCCGCCGCGGUAAUACCGGCAGCUCGAGUGAUGGCCGAUUUUAUUGGGCCUAAAGCGUCCGUAGCUGGCCCUGCAAGUCCGUCGGGAAAUCCACUCGCCUAACGAGUGGGCGUCCGGCGGAAACUACAGGGCUUGGGACCGGAAGACUUGAGGGGUACGUCUGGGGUAGGAGUGAAAUCCUGUAAUCCUGGACGGACCGCCGAUGGCGAAAGCACCUCAAGACGACGGAUCCGACAGUGAGGGACGAAAGCUAGGGUCUCGAACCGGAUUAGAUACCCGGGUAGUCCUAGCCGUAAACGAUGUUCGCUAGAUGUGGCACAGGCUACGUGCCUGUGCUGUGUCGUAGGGAAGCCGAGAAGCGAACCGCCUGGGAAGUACGUCCGCAAGGAUGAAACUUAAAGGAAUUGGCGGGGGAGCACUACACCCGGAGGAGCCUGCGUUUUAAUUGGAUUCAAGCCUGGG
rnacentral:rRNA from 1 species